rnacentral:rRNA from 1 species
UACGUAGGGUGCGAGCGUUAAUCGGAAUUACUGGGCGUAAAGCGUGCGCAGGCGGUUUUGUAAGCCAGAUGUGAAAGCCCCGGGCUCAACCUGGGAAUGGCAUUUGGGACUGCAAGGCUGGAGUAUGGCAGAGGAGGCUAGAAUUCCUGGUGUAGCAGUGAAAUGCGUAGAUAUCAGGAGGAAUACCGAUGGCGAAGGCAGGUCUCUGGGCUGACACUGACGCUCAUGCACGAAAGCGUGGGGAGCAAACAGG